rnacentral:rRNA from 1 species
UGGGGAAUUUUGGACAAUGGGCGAAAGCCUGAUCCAGCAAUGCCGCGUGUGUGAAGAAGGCCUUCGGGUUGUAAAGCACUUUUGUCCGGAAAGAAAUCCUUGGCUCUAAUACAGUCGGGGGAUGACGGUACCGGAAGAAUAAGCACCGGCUAACUACGUGCCAGCAGCCGCGGUAAUACGUAGGGUGCAAGCGUUAAUCGGAAUUACUGGGCGUAAAGCGUGCGCAGGCGGUUUGCUAAGACCGAUGUGAAAUCCCCGGGCUCAACCUGGGAACUGCAUUGGUGACUGGCAGGCUAGAGUAUGGCAGAGGGGGGUAGAAUUCCACGUGUAGCAGUGAAAUGCGUAGAGAUGUGGAGGAAUACCGAUGGCGAAGGCAGCCCCCUGGGCCAAUACUGACGCUCAUGCACGAAAGCGUGGGGAGCAAACAGGAUUAGAUACCCUGGUAGUCCACGCCCUAAACGAUGUCAACUAGUUGUGGGGAUUCAUUUCCUUAGUAACGUAGCUAACGCGUGAAGUUGACCGCCUGGGGAGUACGGUCGCAAAGAUUAAAACUCAAAUGAAUUGACGGGGUCAUAGCUG